rnacentral:rRNA from 1 species
UACGGAGGGGGCGAGCGUUAUUCGGAAUUAUUGGGCGUAAAGGGCGCGUAGGCGGCCUGGUCAGUCGAUUGUGAAAGCCCUGGGCUUAACCUGGGAAUUGCAGUCGAUACUACUCAGCUAGAGUAUGGGAGAGGGUAGUGGAAUUCCCGGUGUAGCGGUGAAAUGCGUAGAUAUCGGGAGGAACAUCAGUGGCGAAGGCGGCUACCUGGCCCAAUACUGACACUCAGGUGCGACAGCGUGGGGAGCAAACAGG